CAGAUUUUGGUGUUGCAUAUAUAUGUAAAAAUGGGAAUAAUUAU
rnacentral:sRNA from 1 species